rnacentral:rRNA from 1 species
GAUCAUGGUCAGGACGAACGCUGGCGGCGUGCUUAACACAUGCAAGUCGAACGGAAAGGCCUAAGCUUGCUUGGGUACUCGAGUGGCGAACGGGUGAGUAACACGUGAGUGAUCUGCCCUCAACUUCGGGAUAAGCCUGGGAAACUGGGUCUAAUACUGGAUAGGACCAUCCUUUAGUGUGUGAUGGUGGAAAGUUUUUUCGGUUGGGGAUGAGCUCGCGGCCUAUCAGCUUGUUGGUGGGGUAAUGG